GUGACGCCCCAAAAAUUACAUUAGUAGAUUAAGUGUAUUAAAGACUUUAUAUAUAUAUACAUGUAUAUGUUUAUGUAUAUGUAUAUAUAUGUAAAUAAUGAAUAAAAUAGUAAUAACCUAGAAAAAUAAAUCAAAACUCAAAAAGGAAUAUUUUGUUGAAAGAUUUUCAUCCGUAGAGUAACAGUAAAAUCCCACCACUUCUCCCCAUGUGUUAAAAAAAAAAAAAAAAAAAAAAAAACAGAAAAGAAGAUUUGCACCGCUUGCUUUGCUUUACCCACGUAGCAUCCAGG
rnacentral:lncRNA from 1 species